CCUGGACCAUCAAAAUAAUUUCAGUUUAAAUGCAUUGGGUUAGAGAACUUGUUAUACUUGUUGGAAUUAUAUUUGUUAACAGUUUUUUUCUCUUUCGUUGUUUACAGUGAUACUUUACAGUCGCAUCACAUAUGAUUUAUUAUGACUGAUCGCACUUUAGAGUCCUUAGUGGGCUGUAUUGGGCCUUACAGUCUUUCAGCUGGCCAUUUAAAAGCACUGUAUGAGCCAGGUUACAUUCCAGAUGUGGUAAUAGAUGCCCUCAUGUUUAUCAUCUGCAAGAAAUACCAGGAUGUGUACAGUAUUUGCACCCAGUCAAUGACGAAGAUUCUGUCCGGAUCACAGAGGGUCAAAAGUCACUACUUUUGCAAG